GACGAACGCUGGCGGCGUGCUUAACACAUGCAAGUCGAACGGAAAGGCCCUGCUUUUGUGGGGUGCUCGAGUGGCGAACGGGUGAGUAACACGUGAGUAACCUGCCCUUGACUUUGGGAUAACUUCAGGAAACUGGGGCUAAUACCGGAUAGGAGCUCCUGCUGCAUGGUGGGGGUUGGAAAGUUUCGGCGGUUGGGGAUGGACUCGCGGCUUAUCCGCUUGUUGGUGGGGUGGUGGCUUACCAAGGCUUUGACGGGUAGCCGGCCUGAGAGGGUGACCGGCCACAUUGGGACUGGGAUACGGCCCAGACUCCUACGGGAGGCAGCAGUGGGGAAUAUUGCACAAUGGGCGGAAGCCUGAUGCAGCAACGCCGCGUGCGGGAUGACGGCCUUCGGGUUGUAAACCGCUUUCGCCUGUGACGAAGCGUGAGUGACGGUAAUGGGUAAAGAAGCACCGGCUAACUACGUG
rnacentral:rRNA from 1 species